GGGGGGGGGGGGGGGGGGGGGGGGGGGGGGGGGGGGGGGGGGGGGGGGGGGGGGGGGGGGGGGGGGGGGGGGGGGGGGGGGGGGGGGGGGGGGGGGGGGGGGGGGGGGGGGGGGGGGGGGUGGCGGAACCCGCAGCAUCCCUCGCCCGCCCCCACCGCCCUCGCUCUCUUCCACCUCUGUUUUCCUAGUCCUUGAGGGGAUUAAAAAAAAAAAAACCAAAACAAAUAAAAAACCUAAAACAACAACAACAACAAAAAAGAAAACAAACAAAAAAAAAAAAAGACGGGGAAGGCAUAAAUUUGAAGUCAGAAGGAAAAAGGAAAGCAGCAAGUUCGCUUGCGCGGGGAUGCAGCGCCUGGCCGGGCCGGGAGAGGCUGUUCCAGGGCUGCCCUCGGGCCGGGAGAGGCUGUUCCAGGGCUGCCCUCGGGCCGGGCGAGGCCCGAGACGUUUCCCCGCAGCUCCUGCGGGCGCUGCACAGCCCCGCGCUCUCUCCUCUCCUCUCCUCUCCUCUCCCCGUCGGGGCGCGCACCGGGCGCUCCCCCCGCGCAGCUGUCGGUUCGCUCGGGGCCGCUGCCGGGAUCAAUGGGGCCGGGAUCAAUGGGGCCGGGAUCAAUGGGGCCGGGCUCGCCCCGCCCGGUCCCGCACAUGGGCGCUUCUCAUGCGGGACGGGCGGCCCGGGAAGGCGACAGCUGCCGCUGCCGUCGGGGGGGGGGGGGGGGGGGGGGGGGGGGGGGGGGCUGCCGCUGCCGUCAGGGGAGCGCGGCGCCGGUGCCAUGUGUCGGCGGGGAUGAAUGAGGGGAAGGAGAUGAGCAUCUCGUGUCCAUCAAGCACCAGUUUUUCACAGCGAAUUUUUUUUUUUCUCCUUUCCCAGGCGUUAGCGAAAGCAUCUGGUUGUCCCUCCUUCCCCGGGGGGGGGGGGGGGGGGGGGGGGGGGGGGGGGGGGGGGGGGGGGGGGGGGGGGGGCCGUGCCCAGCCCCUCCCCUGGGGCUGCGGGGUCCCGAUGCGAACCCCCCAAAACCCCGCUCGGGGCAGGAGGCAGCACAGACCGAGGGGACACUGGGGGCAGUGGGGACAGCGGGGUGCCCCCUCUGCCUCAUCCCCCCCAGCGGGGAUCCCGACCCAGAGCAGGCGUUUGAGAGGCCAAAAUGCCCGCGCCCGUCUCCAGCAGGAUCCGAAAAUCAAACCCCAGCGCGGCCCGGCUGCCCCUCCCGACCCAGAGCAGGCGUUUGAGAGGCCAAAAUGCCCGCGCCCGUCUCCAGCAGGAUCCGAAAAUCAAACCCCAGCGGGGCCCGGCUGCCCCGGCCUCCUGCACCCCCGGGAGCCCGAGGGGAGGGGGAAAAGCCCCGAGGAAGCAGCAGCGUGUGCCGCCCCCUCGCAGGGCCGGGUGAUGGAAACGGGGGGGAUUUUUUUGGUUUUUUGUAUUUCGCAAUUCGCCUGGGUAGAGGCCCCGAACCCCACUGGGAUCCGGCCGGGAUGCUCCAGAGCAACCCCGGGCGGCCUCAGUGCUGGAAAGGAGAGACAUUAAGAGAGUAAAAAAGGAGGAAAAAAAAAAAAAAAAAAAAAAAAAGACAGCUAGGCCAGAAAUGAAAGACAUAUAAAAUAUAAGGGUAGGAGAAUUUUUUUCCUCCAUUCAGCAUACCCUGAGAACCUGAUUGUCAUCCAAUUAGAGGCUGAGUUAAGGUCUGAUUAAUCUAUCACAAGCAAAAGGGUUUUAAAAAGGGAAAUUAAAAAACUAAAAAAAAAAAGGAAAAAAAUGAAAUUAAAAGAGGAAAACCAAAAUUUUAAAAAAUAGAGAGUGUGAGUAGAAUAGUGAAAGAGACCCAAAUAAAGAGAGAGAAAAUAAAAUAGUUUGAAAAAUGAAAAACGCCAAACAAACUCAAAAUCAUUCUAAACCUAAUACCGAAGAAAUAAACCAAGACCCUUUCUGGCGAGUUUAAAUUUGCAUUUUAUGGGUAUCGUUCCCGUCUUUUAGUUAAACAUCGCCCUGUUUCGCCACCGCUGCGCUCAGUACUGGGAUUUCUCUCUCUUUUACGGGGUCCCCGUGAUCCCGGGGACCACCGCGGCUCGUGGAGCAUCCCCGCAUCCCCACCGAGCCAAAACUUCCCUCCCACGCACGGGCAGAAGCUUUCCACCACAUCCAUCCCCCGACAGCACAAAGUUUUUCCUCUUUCUCCAUUUAUUUUUAAUUUUAUUUUCUUUUUCCUCUCCUUUUUCACCUCUCUCCGCGGCCGCGCGGGCUCGGGGAGGAUGCCGGGCUCGGAGCCGGUGACGGGGCGGGGGGAGCCCUGAGCUCCCCGGGGGGCUCUCCCGGCGGUGUCUUGGGGGUACAGCCCGCACAGGAGGUGGGGGUCCCACCUCUCCCCCCGUCCCCAGCACCUUCCCCCGCAGAAAGAGCGCCUCCGCCUGAUUAAAUACAUACGCGGUUAACGCGCUAUCCAAAUAUUGAAGUUAAGGUGUAAUUAAGCCUGCAGAACAUCCCCGCGCAAUAAACCCCACGGCUGGACAGGAUCCAUCCCCAGGUUUGUUUUAAAAGAGCUUGGGAAAGGAAAAAAAAAAAAGAAAAAAAAGAAGAUAAGAAGGAGAAGAAGAAGAUCUUUAAAUUAUGUAUUAGAAAGUCCCAGUUUAUCCUGCCACACUCGGGUCGAUGCUGAGGGUAAACACAACACUGUCGCCCCCCGGCUCCGCUCGCCUUUCCCUUUUCUUUUAUUUCUUUUCUAUUUAUUUUCCUUUUUCCUUAUUUAUAGGGUAAACACAACACUGUCGCCCCCCGGCUCCGCUCGCCUUUCCCUUUUCUUUUAUUUCUUUUCUAUUUAUUUUCCUUUUUCCCUAUUUAUUUUCCUGCCCCCCUCCCCCGUGAUUAGCCCUCCCGGGUUUCUUCCCACGUCGCUAAAUGUUGUCGCUUACACUCCGAGCUCAUGCAUUGUUUAUGGGAAAUACGGUUAAUAAAUAAUUACAAAUCCGAGGUGCGCGGCUCUGCCUCUGAGUGACGGGAAAGUGUCCGGGAAGGGGCCGGGGGUGGGACAGCUGAGCGGGAUCCUUCCCCGCUAAAGGGCACAUAAAAGGCGAAUAAAAGAGAAAAGAAAGAAAAGUGGAGAGGUAGAGGGGGCGAGGGGGGGGCUAUAAAAAAGAGGGUGAAGCGAACCCCCGGAGGAUGCACCGCUCCCGGCUCAUCCAUCUUCAUUGUCUCCGUGUGUGCAAAAGCAACUCCGGUCUAAGGAAAAGCCACUAUCAAAGCCAUGGCUUUAUUUUAUAUCCUAUAGAUCAGGAGGGAGGCAAAGCUUUAUUUUCGCCCAGAGACAGAUAUUUUAUUUCUCUCUUACGGUUUUAUGUGUGAGAGAUGUCAAAAAGGUAAAAUAGAUUGCUAAUGCAUAGGCAAAACGAAGCUGUUUUGGCAUGCUCUGUGUCAGGAGGGCUCCCGGGGAGCGCGGGCUGGGGAUUUAGGGCUGAUGGGGGACUCGGGGGGAUUCUGCUAAAACAUCUCUCUCCAUAAAUCCAGCCGCAUGGUCAGCGCGAGCGGCAGGAGGAAUUUUAAAGGGGAAGAGUCGGAGCGCGGCGGAGCGGAGCGGAUCCCGGCGGGGUCCCGGGGGAUCGCGGGGGGCGCAGCCGCCGCUCCCAUCGCUUCUCCCGGCGGAGCUGGGCACCGGCCCGAGCACAAAGCGCUCCCGGCCAACCACAACCCCCUCGCCUGCUUUUAUUUCAUUAUUUCAUUCUAUUUUUUUUUUUCCCCCCCAAAACAAGCACCCAUCCUCCGACUAUCGGUCCGACUCCCGGAGCUGCGGCUGCUCAGCAUCUGCCUCCCCGACCCCGGCUGCGGAUCUACGCGGACCUUUUCCAAAGUUAAAAUAUAUCUCCCCAAGCUGCAACAAUUUUCAUACUUUUUGACCUCGGGGAUUUACUUAGCGCGUUAAGUUCAAGGCUCGGAAGCCCAGGGCUAUUACUCAUUUAGGCACUCCCACCACCAACACUUUUCACCACAUAUUUUAUCAUUUGACUUCCCGGCUUAAAUUCAUGUUAUGGCAAAUAAUGGAUGGUAAUACUUUCCCCCUUCCCCAUGUUAAUUGUCUUGUCUGACAGCCUCCGCAUUUGAAGUGAUUUAAAGCAAACAAGGGUGCAGCGAGAGCAGGAGACACAAAACCUCUGCGGGAGCCCCGCGGCUCCGGCUCUUCCCUCCCGGGUCUGGGCUGGAUCCCGAGCGCAGCAAAUCCUCCCCAAAAGCAUCGCCCAGCCCUCGCUGCGGUCACUGCAUCGCUUCUUCCCAGCGCCCCGCAGCCCCCGGGGGGACUCACCCCUGCCUCGGGCCCCUCCAACUUCGCUGCCCAAAAAUAUUCCUUCCUUGGGGUGGCUGAAAUGGGGAAUCAGACCAGAGCGCUAUUUGCAAAUUGGAAAAAAAAGGCAAGGUGUACUUGAUUAGGAAAUUAAUUAUUUCAGCACCCCCAGGAUUAUAUUGUUUUUCUAAGUUCUGUGGGCCUGUGUGAUUUACCAAUUUCACAGUGGCUGAACUUCCCUGGCAGUGAGAGUCAAUCUCCCCUCCGCGACACGCAGGCGGCUCCUCGGCAGCGUCGGAGGGAAGGGGGAGCCCAGAGCUCUCCCUCUGCUCCUGCCACCGUGACCCCGGCCAAAUUCUUCGCUUCUGCUCUUUCUGCGAGCGGGCAGCGCCUCCCUUGCCAGCGGGAGCAGCUCCUCCUGUGAGAAAGGAGCAGCCGCCCGGGCGUCUCUGCCCGGCGCUGGCACUGCCCUCCCGUGCCCCUGAGGAAAAGGGGCCGCAGCAUCCAUCACACGUCCUCCUCAAGGAGCUGCAGAAGAGGAUUCCCAGCACAGAAGGGCUUUUGUCACCAGCAGAAUGUCAGAUUUUGGUGCUGACAUCACUGAAGUGAUGGGAAAAAUAACUGAAAUCCAAACAGGCAGGACUGUGCCAGAAAACAUGCAGAUGCAGGGGCAGAGCUCGGUUCAGAUCACCUGGGCAGGUACCACAGCAGCAGAUUCCCCUCAGAGUGACAGCGAACCCAGAGCUCCUGGCUGUGUCUGUAUCUGUCAGCUCAGUCCUGACUAAUCCUCUGUCUAUAGAUGCUGUCGUUUGUUACGGUACUACAUCACAUCCUAUUUAUAUUAUUUGCUGUUUUAAAGGAUCUCAGAGGCCGUGGAGGCUCUGGCCAGCCUGGCCCCCCUUCUCCCCUCACCAAUCCUGGGUUAGUGCAGCUGGAGCCCAGCAAAGUCCUGGCUCCUGGGUGCCUCCACAUGCACAUUUUGAGCCUCUGUUUCCUUCCCCUCAGCCCUGAGUGAUGCUCCAAGCGUGGCUGACGUGCACAGAGCUCCUCUCAACACCAGUGGGAUGUGGCAGGCACAGCCACCAUCCCAUCACCCCGAGGUGCAUCAGUAUGCUGUGUUCAGGAUGAAAAAAACUGAAUCAUUUUGGUCUAGAAUGUGAAAUUUCAAAUUUUUCCAGGGGUUGAGCUCCAUCCCCAUGCGGAUCCUGCUGUCCCCUGCUGUGCUGUGCCCAUGCAGGGCAGAGUCACACGCUGGCACAACAAAGGGCCAACCCUCCAUGCUCAGAAGCACUUUAAAAAACAAAUAUCAUCCUAAAAACCCCCAUCCUUGGCAUCUUUGUGGCUCUUCACAGCGUGUCGCUGAGUUUUGGGGCCCAGGAGCCCCGUGCCAGCCCAGCCCCAGGGUGCUCCUUUCCUCUCUUUGAGCAUCACCACGAGGGCACCAGAGAUUUCCCCUUGCAAACAAGUAAACCUUGUUUCCCCAAACCCUGGUGAGCAGAUUCACCAGGUCUCUUCCUCCUGCCUGGGAAAUGUCACCAUUUUCACAGAGAACAAGUCUCUGCAGGAGCUGGGGUGUCUGUGCUGCUGAUGUCGCCUCCGUACCAGAAGGGAAACUUCAGGCUCAGAAACUGUGAGUCUGCAGAAUUCCCUACCAAUGUGGCUUUUCCAGUCGUUGAAAUAAAAUCUACAUGGCUGCAAUUAGUCAAUAUUUGCAAAGCCUCUAAGAUUGCAGAAUAAAUGGCUGAGAGAAAUUCUCAUGGUUAUUAGACAAAUGCAUUAAUAACAACGGCGGUGGCUGCUGAGGAGACGUCGCCCCUAAUGAUGUACAAUUUAUUUCCUUAAGGCUGUGCUAAUAAACAAAACUGCUUUUUAGAAUCUGCUCUGUUUAUUCCACAUGCACCCUCAGAUCAAAUAAGUUUCUCUCAGCGCAGCAGCAUCUUCCUGCUCUGCCUCUCUGCAGCCCCUCAUUAACUCCUGCUGUGCCGAGGUCAGGGACACACAGCCCUGCCCAAAUACCAGCCCUGCUGCCCUUGGUCCCUUUGGGGCAUCCCAAAGGGUCCCUUAAGCUCAGUGAUGGGUGUUUGUCCUCAUCCCAUGCCAUUUGUGGCAGUCCCUGAUGGAUCUGUGAGCCAUGGACCACCUGCACACUCCCUGACCCGCCCAAACACUCAGCAGGGUUUGUUCCCUGUGAC
rnacentral:lncRNA from 1 species